GAUAAACGCUGGCGGCGCACAUAAGACAUGCAAGUCGAACGGACUUAACCAUUAGUUUACUAUUGGAGCGGUUAGUGGCGGACUGGUGAGUAACACGUAAGCAAUCUGCCUAUCAGAGGGGAACAACAGUUAGAAAUGACUGCUAAUACCGCAUAAUGUAUUUUGACCGCAUGAUCGAAAUACCAAAGCUUUAUGUGCUGAAAGAUGGUCUCGCGUCUGAUUAGCUAGUUGGUGAGGUAACGGCUCACCAAAGGCGACGAUCAGUAGCCGGUCUGAGAGGAUGAACGGCCACAUUGGGGACUGAGAUACGG
rnacentral:rRNA from 1 species